rnacentral:rRNA from 1 species
UACAGAGGGCUCAAGCGUUGUUCGGAUUUAUUGGGCGUAAAGGGUGCGUAGGCGGUGGGGCAAGUCGGAUGUGAAAUCUCAGGGCUCAACCCUGAAACUGCAUUCGAUACUGCCUUGCUCGAGGACUGGAGAGGAGAUUGGAAUUCACGGUGUAGCAGUGAAAUGCGUAGAUAUCUGGAGGAACAUCAGUGGCGAAGGCGACACCCUGGACUGAUACUGACGCUGAGGUGCGAAAGCGUGGGGAGCAAACAGG